rfam:Schistosoma mattheei strain Denwood, Zambia genome assembly, scaffold: SMTD_scaffold0018029
AUCUAAUUGACGAGUUGCAAAUAGGACGAAAGGCGCGUCCUGAAU